AUCUACAAAAACAAAUGAAAAGAUGCACUCAUAUGUUUCAGUCUUAAUUUAUUUUAAAUAACGUUUUACUUAAUAGAUUUUAUUUUAGAAAGACUCGGCUCAAUAACACCUGCUUCGUAAUUGUUACGGAGCGUUCCAUUUAUUGAAGAUUGAUGUAAAUGAUGAUGACGACGAAGCCUUGCUAACAACUUUAAAGAAUCUUGUGCCGCAUUGAUUGCUAAUAACCCUAAAGGGACAAAAAUAUCGUCAACGGAAACCAUAACCAACGUACAAGAGUUCGAGCAAAAUCUUCUAAAUACACAGACAAAGCAGCCUCGACGGCACCACCACCAGCGCAAACACUACUGCUUUCAAGAGCUCUAUUGAAAGAAUAUACUUUAUAAGUAGUGUUGUGUUAACAAAAAUUAAGUUACUUGGACACGGUGCACAAAGCAUCAUGAACGGAACGUUCAACUUCAUCUAAGAAAGACUCAUUUGGACCUCUUAAAAUCAAUGUCUUUGCUUUAGACGUUUUACACCCCUAAAAAUCACAAUUUUUUUGUAUAAAUCGUGCUAAGAAUACUUAAUAAA